AGGGUUUGAUUCUGGCUCAGAGUGAACGCUGGCGGCGUGCUUAACACAUGCAAGUCGAACGAGAACGGAUUAUAGCUUGCUAUAAUUGUCAGCUAAGUGGCGCACGGGUGAGUAAUGUAUAGGUAAUAUGCCUCUUACUAAGGGAUAACAAUUGGAAACGAUUGCUAAUACCUUAUAUUCCUUUUUAUCAAAAGAUAAAAAGGGAAAGAUUUAUUGGUAAGAGAUUAGCCUGUAUUGUAUCAGUUAGUUGGUGGGGUAAUGGCCUACCAAGACGAUGACGCAUAACUGGUUUGAGAGGAUGAUCAGUCACACUGGAACUGAGACACGGUCCAG
rnacentral:rRNA from 1 species